ACCCCCGGCGACCACCUCAAAGCCUCAGCAACACAGAGCGCGCGAGCCUGAGAGUCGCCAUUUUGGACUCGCUCCGCCUCCCGCUGGACUGUCGCCGGGGCGAGGCAGCACUAAACAAAUACUGAUUGCGUCAAUGAAAAAGCGCUCCGCCCCAUUUGAACAGAUCGAUUGUUUUGGUAUCAACUCUUAUGCCUAGAACACUGCAGGAAAAGACUAUGAAGAAUUCUAGUAGAGGUUGCGCCCCUGAAAAGUCAGACGGUUGAGGCAUUCCCAGUGCGGCUUUCACGUGGAGAAGGAGGUGGAGGCAAACCGCGGUAUUUUACGGGAAAAGAAGCUUGGAUAUGUAAAUGAAAUGAAGGUUUUAGAGAGAAAUGUUAAUCAGAAAGGCUGUGCAAAAGGAUGGAAACCUGGGCUGAGCCUGUUACUUCCAUCUUCAAUUUAAUCUACAGAAGUACUCACACAAAUCUGCAGCCUUGCCCAAGGAUGCUCAUUUUGUAAUGGUUAAAAAUAGGAAACUCCUUUGUCUAGGUAGGUCUUUAUAUAUCAAUAUGGAAUAUCCAAGGUUAAAACUAUAUGCAAUCAUAUGUCCCCUGUCUUGGAAACAAUUUCUUCUGGAUUUCCAUUUAAAGAUGGCAGAUUGAACACACAAAUAUGCAAUUUCGCUUGUCCCCUAUGCUUUUUUUUCUAUGCUAAUAAAACUUCAGUAAAGGUACUUUUUAAAAAGGCAUAAACAAGGACAGGGAGAGCUGAAGAGACAAGAUGAAAACACCAAUAGCAUAAUUUUUAAAGGAUUGGUAGAUCCUUUUCCCCCAUGUCACAGCCUUGGGAGACUGCCCCUCCCCCAUCCCAGCAGAAACUCAGUUUUAUUCUUUGGAGAGAAUGAAAGGUAUCUAAACUGAGGGUUAACAGGCCUCUAAGUGUUGGUGCAUAUAGUGUCCUGAAAACAGCAGGGGUUAAGUGAACAAAUGCUGAGAUUCCUAGCCCCCCCACCUCCAGCCACAAUUUGUUCCCAGGUGCUGGCACUCAGGCCAACUUAACUCUUAGGAAGAUUUAGAGUCUUCUCUGAAAAACCUAAUCAAGUUCUUCUGUUAAGUCAGACAUUAAGAGUGUAAAAGGACUCCUAAGACCACAGAUUAAGAGGAAGGACCUAAAGAUACUCUUUGGGGGUAUCCCAAUAAAUGGACCAACUAGAUUACCCCUCAGUGAAGCUCAUGGUUAAAAAGCUCCACUCAGAAGUGCAGAACUAAUCAGAUUUUUAGUCACCUACUCUCAAUCACGGGCAGACAACUGAGGAUUACCAGGCAUCUGAUGAAAACUUAGAACAAGAAUUGGCAAACUUUCUGUAAAGGGCCCAAUAGUAAAUAUUUUAGGCUUUCUAGGCCACUUUCAGUUUCUGCUGUACAUUUUUCUUUGGCUUUGUUUUUUACAACCCUUGCCUACCCAUUGUUCCGAAUAAGUAUAUGCCUGAAAUUCUUCAUCCCAUAUAUGAGAAACAGCAGAUGACUCCAGGAGCAUUUUAACUUGACUUUGACGACCGUUCUGUGAAGGUGCAAAAGGCUAGAAACCUGGGCUAGGCCUGUUACAUCAACAUAUCCUUGACUAGCUAGACUUUUUGAGAUUAUUACAGAACUGUAAACCCUGGUGGCAUAGUGGUUAAGAGCUAAGGCUGCUAACCAAAAAGUCAGCAGUUCAAAUCCACCAAGCACUCCUUGGAAACUCUAUGGGGCAGUUCUACUGUGUCCCAUAGGGUUGCUAUGAGUCAGAAUCGACUCGAUGGCAAUGGGUUAUGGUCAGAAGAGCUUAUCUUCUUACCAAAAAAUUUAACAGUAGCGUGUUAAUAUUUUAAAUGUUUUAAUAUCUCAUUUUAAAAACCAUUACUACAAAGUUUAUUAAGAAAAUGUUCUGCAUCCCACUUUGGUGAGUGGCAUCUGGGGUCUUAAAAACUAGCAAGCAGCUAUCUAAGAUGCAUCAAUUGGUCCCAACCUACCUGGAGCAAAGGAGACUGAAGAACACCAAAGACACAAGGAAAAUAUGAGCCCAAGAGACCAAAAGGGCCACAUAAACCACAGACUCCAUCAGCCUGACGCUGGAAGAACUAGACAGUGCCUGGCUACUACCAAUGACUGCCCUGACAGGGAAAACAACAGAGUCCCUGAUGGAGCAGGAAAAAAGUGGGGUGCAGAACUCAAAUUCUAGUAAAAAGACUAGACUUAAUGGUCUGACUAAGACUGGAGGGACCCCAGAGGACAUUGCCCCCGGACUCUCUGUUAGCCCCAAACUAAAACCAUUCCCGAAGCCAACUCUUCAGACAAAGAUUAGACUAGAUAAGACCUAAAAUGAUACUGGUGAGGCGUGUGCUUCUCAGCUCAAGUAGACACAUGAGACUAAGUAGGCAGCUCCUGUCUGGAAGCAAGAUGAGAAGGCAGAGGGGGACAGGAGCUGGUUGAAUGGACACAGGAAGUACAGGGUGGAGAGGAGUGUGCUGUCACAUUAUGGGGAGAGCAACUAGGGUCACUUAACAAUGUGUGUAUAAGUUUUUAUAUGAGAAGCUGACCUGAACUGUAAACUUUCACUUAAAGCACAAUAAAAAAAAAUUGUUAUUAUAUAAAUUUAAAAAAACAGUGAAAUUUUAAAUUGUAUGUUGUUUAUUGUACGAUAAUUUACAAAUAUCUUGCUAUCUUUCAUAAUCUGAACAAUCGACCAACAAUGUCUUCUGACAAGGACAGCAGUAAGUGAAAUAAAAUCAGCUGGCUUAAUUUCUCUUCUUUACCUGAAAAACAAAGAACAGAACAAGUAAAAAUCAAGCAAUAUUUUUCUGGAAAAUAUUACCGUCAAGAGAUGAUAGGUAUGUAAAGUGGGGUUUAAUGAACUGGAUUUACAUCAUAAACUGUUACGCUAUACCAGUGAUUCUCAAAUUUUGGUUUGUGGACCCUUUCAUAGGUCACUGAGGGCAAACUAUUUUCAUAAUAGUGUUCUUCUUUGUUUUACUCUUAAGGAGUGUAGAGUGGGUUUUCCAGAGGGUACAUGAUGUAUGACAUCACAGCAGAAUGAGCUCAGAAAUAAAUGAGAAUCCAGCUGUCUUCUGUUAAGUCAGACAUUAAGGGUGUAAAAAGGGUCCUAAGACCAUAAAGUUUGAGAACCACCACUCUUAACCAAUCUAUAUUUAAUAUCUUAAAAAAAAAAAAAGCUACUAAUUCUCUAUCCUCAACGUUUAUUUCCUUGUGUGUCUCAUCUGCCCACUAAAGCUAGAUUUCCUAAGACCAACAUGUUUAAUAAAUGUAAAUCUAAAAAAAAAAAAAGCCCACUAGCAUUACCCACUACC